rnacentral:rRNA from 1 species
UAUUUAGCUAUUUGAAGGGUAAAAUUAAUAAAUUUAUAAUUAAUAAAAAUAAUUUUAAUAUUAAAAGGGGGUUUUAGUAUUAAUAAAAAAAAAAUUAAUAAAUUUAUAGUUAAAUAGUAUUGUAAAAUAAUUUUUAAAUAAUUAAAAUUAAAAUUAAUAAAAAGUAAUUUUUGAUUAAUGUAUCUUGGGUAUCAGAGUUUAUUAAAAAAUUUUUUUUUAUUAAAAUUUUCUCGAAUUAAAAAGAGUUAAUUAAUUAAAAAAGUUAUUGUUAUAUAAAUAUUUUAAAUAAUUAAUUUGAAAUGAAAUGUUAAUCGUUUUUUAAGAUAUCUAGUUUUUUUAGAAAAAAUUUUAAAUUUAAGUUUAAUUUUAUAAUUAAUUUAAUUAAUAUAAUUAAUUAUAGUUAAGAUGUUAUAUUUUAAGGGAUAAGCUUUAAAAUAAAUUUUUAUAAUUUAUGUUAAAUUUAAAGUUAAAUUUUUUAAAAUUUAUAUUGUUUAGAAAUUAUAAUUUGUUUAUAAAUAAAUUUAAUUUAAUUAAAAUUUAAAAUUAAUUUAAUUAUAUAUAAAAAAAAAAUUUUUAAUAAAAUAAAAUUAGAUAUAAUGAUAAAAUUAGUAUAAAUUUUUAAUUUAUAAAUUAAUAAAUAAAAAAAAAUAAUAAAAAGGAAUUCGGCAAAAAUUUAUAUUCACUUGUUUAUCAAAAACAUGUCUUUUUGUAGAAAUAAUUUAAAGUCUAAUCUGCCCACUGAUAAUAUUAAAGGGCUGCAGUAAUUUGACUGUACAAAGGUAGCAUAAUCAUUAGUCUCUUAAUUGGUGACUUGUAUGAAAGAUUGAAUGAAAUAUAUACUGUCUCUUUAUUAAAAUUAGAAUUUAAUUUUUUAAUUAAAAAGUUAAAAUAAAUUUAAAAGACGAGAAGACCCCAUAGAGUUUUAUAUAUUUAUAAAUUAAUUAUUAUUUAUAAAAAAAAAAACAAAUAAAAAUUAUUAAAUAUAUUAUAUUGGGGUGAUAAAAAAAUUAAUAUAACUUUUUUUUAUAAAAAUACCAUAUAUAAAUGAAUAUAAUGAUCCAAAAUUUUUGAUUAUAAGAUUAAAUUACCUUGGGGAUAACAGCGUAAUUUUUUUUUUUAGUUCAAAUAAAAAAAAAAGUUUGCGACCUCGAUGUUGGAUUAAGAUAAAAUUUAAAUGCAAAAGUUUAAAAUUUUGAUCUGUUCGAUCAUUAAAAUCUUACAUGAUCUGAGUUCAAACCGGUGUAAGCCAGGUUGGUUUCUAUCUUUAAAUAAAUGAAAAUAUUUUAGUACGAAAGGAUUAAAUAUUUAAAUUAAAUUUAUUUUAUAUUUGAAUAUUAUUAAAUUAA